GAAAUUACUUCUGAGCAGAUACCUUAUCCAUCUUCAAUCGACCUUUGCAAGAGAAAAACAGUGAAAUUGAAAUGGCAAAAGAGUUAGAUUUUAAAAUAUUCAACACAAUGACUAAGACAAUGGAGGUUUUGGUUUUCAAGCCCUUAGUCCCUGGUAAAGUACGCAUGUAUGUGUGUGGCGUUACCUCUUAUGAUUUAAGCCACAUCGGUCAUGCUCGUGCUGCAGUCAUCUUUGACGUCCUUUUCAGAUAUCUACAACACUUAGGUUACGAAGUUACUUAUGUGAGAAAUUUUACAGAUAUUGAUGACAAGAUAAUUCGUAGAGCAAAUGAGCUUGGUGAGGAUCCAUUAUCUUUAAGCAGCAGAUUUUGUGAGGAAUAUCUUGUUGACAUGGACAGUCUGCAGUGCCUCCUUCCUACGCAUCAGCCCCGUGUGACUAACCACAUGGAACAGAUCAAGGACAUGAUCACACAGAUCAUCAACAAUGGCUUUGCAUAUGUUGUUGAAGGAGAUGUGUUCUUUGCUGUUGAUAAAUUCCCAAAUUAUGGUCAAUUGUCUGGGCAGAAACUUGAAAAUACUAGAGCUGGUGAACGUGUUGCUGUUGACACAAGAAAACGUAAUCCUGCUGAUUUUGCAUUAUGGAAGGCUGCAAAACCCGGUGAGCCAAGUUGGGAGAGCCCAUGGGGUCCUGGAAGACCAGGAUGGCACAUAGAGUGCAGUGCAAUGAGUGCUCACUAUCUAACCGUCAAGUUUGACAUCCAUGGUGGUGGAAGUGAUUUAGCUUUUCCUCAUCAUGAAAAUGAGAUUACACAGAGUGUUGCUGCAUGCCAGGAAAGCCGUGUGAGUUAUUGGAUGCAUAAUGGGCACGUUACUAAUAACAAUGAGAAAAUGUCCAAGUCCUUGGGUAACUUUUUCACAAUCCGUCAGGUUACUGAACGGUCCCAUCCACUGGCCUUGAGACACUUUUUGAUGAGUGCACACUACCGCUCUCCCCUCAAUUACACAGUUUUGCAAUUGGAAAGUUCAUCAGAUGCCAUAUUUUACAUUUAUCAGACAUUGCAAGAUUGUGAGGAUGCCUUGUCAUUGUUUCAAGAUGGAAGCAUGAAGGAGGGUGUGGGACUGAAUGUCAAGAAGGUUGGAGUUUCUGCUGAUGCCCAAAAAUGCAUCAAUAAA
rnacentral:misc_RNA from 1 species